UCCGUAGGCGGACUAAUAAGUCAGGGGUGAAAUCCAACAGCUUAACUGUUGAACUGCCUUUGAUACUGUUAGUCUUGAGUUAUAUGGAAGUAGAUAGAAUAUGUAGUGUAGCGGUGAAAUGCUUAGAGAUUACAUAGAAUACCGAUUGCGAAGGCAGUCUACUACGUAUAUACUGACGCUAAUGGACGAAAGCGUGGGGAGCGAACAGGAUUAGAUACCCUGGUAGUCC
rnacentral:rRNA from 1 species